CGCGUAGGCGGCUUGACAAGUCAGAUGUGAAAGCCCCGGGCUUAACCUGGGAAUUGCAUCUGAAACUGUUGAGCUUGAGUUCUGGAGGGGGUAGUGGAAUUCCCAGUGUAGCGGUGAAAUGCGUAGAUAUUGGGAGGAACACCUGCGGCGAAGGCGGCUACCUGGACAGAAACUGACGCUGAGGCGCGAAAGCUAGGGUAGCAAACGGGAUUAGAUACCCCGGUAGUCCUAGCUGUAAACGAUGGGCACUUGGUGUUGGGGGUAUUGAGUCCCCCGGUGCCGGAGCUAACGCGAUAAGUGCCCCGCCUGGAGAGUACGGUCGCAAGACUGAA
rnacentral:rRNA from 1 species